rnacentral:piRNA from 1 species
UGGUCUUUGAGAAAUCCCAAA